UGUUUAAUAAUUUUAGGAUAACAAAGUUCAUAAAUUAAAAUCCUAAGUCUUAGCAUCAAUCUUGUAAAUGAUGUAAGACUUAAGGUUAGCAAAAAUUCUAAUGGACCCAAUGCCCAAUGACCAAAUCCUUUGAAGCCCAAACAAAACAAAAAGGCCUAGUAUUAUUCUCUCCCAAAAUCAGAAAAUAAAACAAAAAUUAAAAGAAAAGCAAUAACUCCAUCUCCUUCCUCCUCUAUACGUGGAAGGACAAGAAUGGAGAUUUCUAAACAAAAGUCAAAAACCAUCUCAGUAAACUUAAUUGAGUUUUCACUUUCUCAACCACCCUUAAUCCACUGGUUUUCUCAAAACCCCUGAAUUUAGCCACUUGUUUUCUUGAAUGGUUUUGGUAAUUUAAAAUUCUGAAAUUCAUCUACUGAGAUGGAGAUUUAUCUAUAAAUAGGGAAGAAUGAAUUGUGUUUUUGACAUCACAAAAUCAACAACAAUAAUUCAGAAAUUUACAUCAACUAAAACAAUUUGGAACAAAAGUUUUUCAAAUCUUUCAACUCCUCUGUUCUUCUGUUUCGGCCACCACUUCGACCACCACGGUACCACCACCCAUCAUCAAUCUGCCUUUCUGCCGCCGUCGAGCAGGCAUAGCCGCCGCCGACCAACCGCCCCAGUCCCCUAUCCCCUCUCGCGCACUCCGUCGUCGCCUUCGAACCCCUGCACGCCCAUUCUCUCUCCUCCUUUCUCCGCCCAUUAUUCGCUGCUACUGUGGCUAGGACACGCGCGUACUGCACCGAAGAUCGCCGCCGUGGGUCCGCGCUGCUCUUCGUCGACAACCGAGCCUCGCCGGAUUUCUGCCGGAGCUCCAUUCCUCCUGUUGCGACGCCGAGCCACGUUUCUCUCCUGCGUGUGUGUGUUUUCUUGGGGUAUGGUCAGACAGUUGAAAGAUCGUUGGUAAAACGGAUUUUUGCUAAUGAGUGUUAAAGAAUCUAGUAUGGCACUAAUAGUAAGGGUUCGUAAGCUCAAGCUAGAAGCACUGCAAGAGAGAGAGUUCAGGAUGGAUCUCGUGUAUCGAUGCUGUUGUCUGUAUUUUAUAUCUUAUGGGCUAAGAAGAUUAUAUUAUUAUUAUGGCUAAUAUUGGUGAGUUUUAAGAAUUAUAUUCUCUAAGACUAUUUAAGCCAA